rnacentral:rRNA from 1 species
GAUGAACGCUGGCGGCGUGCCUAAUACAUGCAAGUCGAGCGAACGGACGAGAAGUUUGCUUCCCUGAUGUUAGCGGCGGACGGGAGAGUCACACAUGGAUAACCUAACUAUACGACUGGGAUAACUACAGGAAAUAGGAGCUAAUAACGGAUAAUAUUUUGAACCGCAUGGUUCCAAAGUGAAAGACGGUCUUGCUGACACUAAUAGCUGGAUACGCGCUGCAUUAGUUAGUUGGUAAGGUAACGGCUUACCAAGGCAACGAUGCAUAGCCGACCUGAGAGGGUGGAUCGCUAGACGGGAAGAGAGACAGGGCAGCGACUCCGGGAGUAAGAAGCAGUACAGAAUCUUCCGCGAGGGAGCAGUGCGGGAUAGAGCAACGUCGCGUGAGUGAUGAAGCACUUCGGAUGGGAGAGCGCUGUUAUUAUUAAGGUUGAAAAGUGUUUUUAACUGUGCUGAUCUUGACGGUACCGGAAGAAUAAGCCCCGGCUAACUACGUG